rnacentral:rRNA from 1 species
GGUGCUAACGUUCUUCGUGAAGAGGGAAACUAACCAGACCGUCAGCUAAGGUCCCUAAGUCUUGGUUAAGUUUGUAACGAUGAUGGAUUGCGCAGACAGCCAGGAUGUUGGCUUAGAAGCAGCCAUCUUUUAAAGAAAGCGUAAUAGCUCUCUGGUCGAGUCGGCCUGCGAGGAAGAUGUCACGGGGCUAAACCAUGCACAGAAGCUGCGGCAGCGAACGUAUAACCCAA